rnacentral:tRNA from 1 species
GGGAAGGUGGCAGAGUCCGGUUGAAUGUACCGCCCUCGAAAUGCGGCAAGGUGUAAAAACCUUCGUGGGUUCGAAUCCCACCCUUCCCG